rnacentral:lncRNA from 1 species
UCCGCGAACAAUUUUCGGAUUCGCAAUUAGGCAAUCCAAACCACGUGACCUCUGGUUGGCACACAAACUAAAGAAGAGGUUAUGUUUGUAUCUAUUUUUUAAUGAUUUUUCAUUGUUUAUCGUCGUAUUUUGGAUUCAUUUGGAUUUCGUUUCCUGUUUUUGUGAACUUUAUAAACUUUACCACAAUGCGAACUGAUUAUUUAAGGAAAUUAUUAUUGGAAACUCCAGAUGUUGCGAGAAAGAUAUUUAUUGAAGCUGAAAAUAAUUGGGGAUUUAGAUCCAUACGGAAUUCAGUCAGAAUUGGAUUUUACAGUAAAGUGCAGUCCAUCAAGUUACUAUUAUAGAUAUGUAUUUAUACAGAUCUGGUGGAGUCUCACAGUUGCUACUCUAAGCAGCAGAUGAAAGCAUACAAAAGCCUUCAGGCACAUAAAUAUUUUACAGCUGGAUUUGUUUUGAAUGGAGUAAAAAUUGUUAAUGAUUUCCUGAUUUCCAUAUUAUUGUUGGAAAGGUGAAGCAUUUCCAAAAAGCUAAUGCUAAACGACUAAAUGCUUGGGUGGGGUGAUAGCCAGUUCUGAUGACAUAGCAAAUGCACAUUGUAUGCGUAUGGCUGGUAAUAGUGAAGUCUGCAGCCAUAUUGCAGCAAUCCUAUUUUUAGCUGAGUAUGCCCAGAGCAAGACAGACGAAGAAGAACCCAAUGCAUGUACAUAUGUUACAGCUACAUGGUUUGGAGAUAGCAACAUAUGCAUUCUCUGAUGAAAAACUAAUGAGUUUUGAAACUGUUCGGUCAGAGUGCUUGUUGCGCUCACUAAACGAACUGAAAUAUAAGAAGUCUUUGGCAUUGUGUUGCAGCGAUAUGAAAAUGGUUAUUCAUUUUUAAUUAUAAUGUACUUCUUCAUCAUGAGUAAUUAUGUAUUGGUCUUUUAGAUGUGUAUUUAUUUUUGUAAUUAGUAUCAACUUGUAAUGAUAAUAUACAUUUAUCGUUUAAGGUACGACUAUGUUUUGACUCUAAAAUAAAUGUUUUAAAAAUCGAA